rnacentral:rRNA from 1 species
AUAAGCGGUGGAGCAUGUGGUUUAAUUCGAUGCAACGCGAAGAACCUUACCUGGGCUUGACAUCCCGAUCGCACCUUAUGGAAACAUAGGGGUCAGUUCGGCUGGAUCGGUGACAGGUGCUGCAUGGCUGUCGUCAGCUCGUGUCGUGAGAUGUUGGGUUAAGUCCCGCAACGAGCGCAACCCUUGUCCUUAGUUGCCAGCAUUCAGUUGGGCACUCUAAGGAGACUGCCGGUGUCAAACCGGAGGAAGGUGGGGAUGACGUCAAGUCCUCAUGGCCCUUAUGUCCAGGGCUACACACGUGCUACAAUGGCCGGUACAAAGGGGCGCAAGACCGCGAGGUGGAGCAAAUCCCAAAAAACCGGUCUCAGUUCGGAUUGGAGUCUGCAACUCGACUCCAUGAAGUUGGAAUCGCUAGUAAUCGCGUAUCAGCAUGACGCGGUGAAUACGUUCCCGGGCCUU